AUUGAACGCUGGCGGCAUGCCUAACACAUGCAAGUCGAACGGUAACGCGGAGAGCUUGCUCUCUGGCGACGAGUGGCGGACGGGUGAGUAAUACUUAGGAAUCUACCCAGUAGUGGGGGACAACAUUCGGAAACGGAUGCUAAUACCGCAUACGCACUACGGUGGAAAGUGGGGGACCUUCGGGCCUCACGCUAUUGGAUGAGCCUAAGUCGGAUUAGCUUGUUGGUGAGGUAAUAGCUCACCAAGGCGACGAUCCGUAGCUGGUCUGAGAGGACGAUCAGCCACACUGGGACUGAGACACGGCCCAGACUCCUACGGGAGGCAGCAGUGGGGAAUAUUGGACAAUGGGCGCAAGCCUGAUCCAGCAAUGCCGCGUGUGUGAAGAAGGCCUGCGGGUUGUAAAGCACUUUCAGUAGAGAAGAAAAGCCUAGGGUUAAUAACCCUGAGUCUUGACGUAACCUACAGAAGAAGCACCGGCUAACUCCGUG
rnacentral:rRNA from 1 species